rnacentral:lncRNA from 1 species
AAAAUUCCAAUUAAUCAAGAACUUAAAGUUUGUCAUGGUUUAAUUAAAAUUAAAACUAUUCUAUGGCUUUGUGGUACUUACACUUUUCUUGUGUUUAACUUAAAGAGAAAAGCCCUAAUUUAUUUGUGCAAGUCAUGUCUUCUUUAAAAGAAAAUUUACAAUUUAUCAAAGACAUGGGAGUUGCUUCUGCUGCUUUGAAAUUAGACCCUCUGUAGCUUUUGAAAACAUGUAUUGAUGUGGUCUAAUUUUGAAGAAUAAAAAAGUGAGGGUUUAAAUCUACUUAGCUUAAAAUUUUGAGUUACUUUGGAAAAGAAAUUUUUAAGUUAAGAUAAGCUUUUGAUGAUUGUUUUAUACAAGUAGAUUAUUGGUUUUGGGAAUGAAAUGUUUGAACUAGCCAUGUUUUAUUGAGGGCCGAGGCAUGUAUAGUACAUGUAUCAUGCUUCUUUUCAAAAUUUUCAUGCUAUUUUAAAAAGAGAAUUAUCAUGGUUUAGAAGAAAACAAUUAUUUAGUAACUCAAUGAAAUUUACUUUGUUUGGAGAUGAAACUAGAAACUUUUUCAUUGCAACAUGUAUAAUUAUUUCUCAUUGUGAUUAUUAAGUGAUUAUUUACACGAGCCUUUUGAUCUUUAAUAAGGUUGCUACAUGUUAAGUUGACACUGCUUUAUGUAAGAUUUGCUUCAAGUUUUGGGACUGGUUUAUGCAACAUAUUUGGGGUACAGCCUAACGGCAAUGACUGNNNNNNNNNNNNNNNNNNNNNNNNGCUGCAUUUUUUCUGCAUAAAUGAGACUGGUUUUCUGUAUAUUCAUGCAUAAGAAUGAGACUGUUUUGCUGUAAAUUUCUGCAUGAAAUUGGGACUGGUUUGAUGGAUUUUUCUGCAUAACAACGGGACUGCUUUGCUAUAAAUUUCUGCAUAAAAAGAAGGGCUGAUUGCUGCAUUUUUCUGCAUAAAGGGGACUGUUUUCUUUGUUUCUUUUCUGCAGAAUUCUGCAGGUUGCAUGCUGCCAAUUGCGCGGGCGCGCCACACCCUUCGUGGGGCGCUCGAGGCAGCAGCCUUUAGCUCACUUUGUGUUGCAUUUUGUUCGAUUUUAGAUCAUGCAGUAUGAUAUGCUACCUGAAUGUAUGUUAAUUUAUAUAUAUGAAUAAGUUGAUCAUGUAUACGUAAUGAAUUUGAG